UACGUAGGGACCGAGCGUUGUCCGGAUUCAUUGGGCGUAAAGAGCUCGUAGGCGGCUGCUCAAGUCGAAUGUGAAACCUCGAGGCUUAACCUCGAGCCUGCAUUCGAUACUGGGCGGCUAGAGUCUGGUAGGGGGAUCUGGAAUUCCUGGUGUAGCGGUGGAAUGCGCAGAUAUCAGGAGGAACACCGGUGGCGAAGGCGGGAUCCUGGGCCAGUACUGACACUGAGGAGCGAAAGCAUGGGGAUCAAACAGG
rnacentral:rRNA from 1 species